UGGCUCGUGAAGCUGAAGCUCGUGUUGCCGU
rnacentral:piRNA from 1 species